GUCCAGUUCUGCUACUGAAUAAUAGUGAACGAUAUUUGUGACUCUGAGAAAGACCUUGGUUUUACCACGAUAAUAUAGUCUGUUAAAUUAGCCUACCGUGGCGCUGGCGUACACUAACUAGUACGCUAGAUACACUAACUAGUUGGCUUGGAUGUUUCCUUUGAACCAAUCAUUGAUUGAAUGCGCGAAAUAUGGUGACCAAAUCGAAGCAUGGCAGAGUUUAAACGCCAAUGUUAAGAGAGAACCUUAAUCUCAAAAGUAGUUUUCUCCCUCUGAAUGCGAAUUUGGCGUGUUUAAAUCUUUUGCAUCCUGUUUGGUGUAGUCUUGUUUCUUAUUCUGUUGCUUCUGUGCUUAAACCAGCCCUUUUGUCUAACUAGUGUUUUGUUCCAGGUAUUUUGAUGGUGUCAUGAAGCUGGCUUUUCUUCUGAAUACUGGUCGGCCAGAGGAUGCUACUGAACUUUGUACUGCGUUGAGGGCAUGUCACAUCAAGUGGUGUCUGGGCUAGGUGAGUGUGGCAGUGUUAAUUGGCUGUCAGUGGUUAAACUGAGUUGUGAGAAAUGGUUAUAAAAGCAUGUUGUAAUUGAGCCCACCAGUCCAUGGACCAGAGUUAGUGAUGAGACAAAACUAAAUAACUUUUCUGACACCUCAUAUGAGGGCUGGCAACAGCCCCUGAUUCUAACUCUACUCUGAAGCUCUGAAUGGGACUGUUAUGUCUUAUUUUCUGGGAGGUUUGUGUGCUGUCAAUUGGUUCAAAUUGCAGUUUAUUCAAGAAAUUAGGCAUUGUGUAAUUUGCCUGCCAUGCCAAGGCCUGUACUUGUCACAAACACUUUUUUUUUUUUUUUAAUACUAGAAACUAGUUGGUGCGAUUGCCUUGGCAACAAAGCACAUGGGAUGUUUCUUUGGGCAGUAUUUGCCAGGUGCUCUGUGUUAAAUCUGUUCUCUUCUGCCAGGUUCUCAUGUGACCUGAGCCUACCACAGGACUCCUCCCACUCACUGCCCUCAGGUAAAUCUCUAGCGGAUUAUUCUCCCAGUCCUUCAAUAACAGUUGGCGGUGAACCAGUGAUGAGACAACUAAAUAACUUUUCUGACACCUCAUAUGAGGGCUGGCAACAGCCCCUGAUUCUGACUCUACUCUGAGGCUCGCUAAGUCACUAAAGAUCACAGCUAAUAAGUGCUUAUUUGUGAAAUGACACUGUUUGAUGGGUGUUUUCUGUGCAGGUUUGUUGAGGAUUUCAGUGAAGAGAAGAUGAAGUCUCUGAGACUGAUUCACCCAGAGUGGUGACUUCAUCAGGCUGCAUGUCCAUGACCAGACUGGUUGAUGGUUGCAGGGAGAUGGCCUCACCGUUAGCACUGCAGAUUCUUGCCUGCUCCCUAAACAUCAGGUGUCCAGUGUCGUACUUUUCCUUACAUUCUAUUCAACACGAAAGGACUUCACUUAAUUGACAUCAGCUGUAUGGUUUCUCCAGUGUGAAUCAUCUGAUAAAAAGAUUUUCCAUCGAGUGGUUCCUUUUUAAUUUGCUGUUGUAACUUUUACCACUUAUAGUUCUCAUCCCCAAUGCCACUCAUUUAAGCUGGUUCCAUUAAACAUGGCCAUUACUUAAAUUAUAUCCAGAGGUCCCCAGGUCUCAAUUCCAAUUGAGCUCAUUUAGAUUGUGGAGGAACGGGAGGUCUGCAACAAAUGUGUAAAUCUUCAAGAAACUGUGAUUCAUUGUGUUAGCUUGGGCUAAAAUCUAUACACGUUUCCACCUUGUUACUCCUGUUCAUUCAGGUCUAAACUGGUGGAUUUUUAUGCAGGCAUGUUCAGAUUUUUACUUAAUUCCAUUUCGAUUUGUCCAAUUUCCCACUAACCUUCCCUGACAGUGCAGCUGGUGGCAGCAGUAAGGCCUCUCUCCUGUGUGAACUCUCUGAUUUAUGGUUAUGCUUUUAGUUCUGGUAUCAUGCACAGCCUUAAUGUGUCACGGUUGUAUUCUCAUCACCUCUCCCUGGCAACAGGGACCUAAUGGUUCUACUUCACUUGUGAUUUUGAAAGUUCAAUAAAGUUGAGUCAAUUUUCUCAUUUGAUCUUAUUCUGUAAUGAAAUACUAAACGUGUGAAUUAAAAUCUUCCAAU
ensembl:lncRNA